UGAGGAAUAUUGCACAAUGGGCGAAAGCCUGAUGCAGCAACGCCGCGUGAGCGAAGAAGGCCUUUGGGUCGUAAAGCUCUGUCCUUGGGGAAGAAAAAAAUGACGGUACCCUUGGAGGAAGCCCCGGCUAACUACGUGCCAGCAGCCGCGGUAAUACGUAGGGGGCGAGCGUUAUCCGGAAUUAUUGGGCGUAAAGAGUGCGUAGGUGGUCUUGUAAGCGUGGGGUGAAAGGCAGUGGCUUAACCAUUGUUAGCCUUGCGAACUGUGAGACUUGAGUGCAGGAGAGGAAAGUGGAAUUCCUAGUGUAGCGGUGAAAUGCGUAGAUAUUAGGAGGAACAUCAGUGGCGAAGGCGACUUUCUGGACUGUAACUGACACUGAGGCACGAAAGCGUGGGGAGCAAACA
rnacentral:rRNA from 2 species